UUUUAAGUCUGAUGUGAAAGCCUUCGGCUUAACCGGAGUAGUGCAUUGGAAACUGGAGGACUGGAGAGCAGGAGAGGGCGGUGGAACUCCAUGUGUAGCGGUAAAAUGCGUAGAUAUAUGGAAGAACACCAGUGGCGAAGGCGGCCGCCUGGCCUGUUGCUGACGCUGAGGCACGAAAGCGUGGGGAGCAAA
rnacentral:rRNA from 1 species